GGUGCGUUAACAAAGCGGUUAUGUGGCGGUCUGCAAAACCGUAUAGAGCAGUUCGACUCUGCUACGCACCUCCA
rnacentral:tRNA from 1 species